rnacentral:rRNA from 1 species
AAGAGCUUGCUCUUUCCGGAAUUGAGUGGCAAACGGGUGAGUAACACGUAAACAACCUGCCUUCAGGAUGGGGACAACAGACGGAAACGACUGCUAAUACCGAAUAAGUUCCAAGAGCCGCAUGGCCCAUGGAAGAAAAGGUGGCCUCUACCUGUAAGCUAUCGCCUGAAGAGGGGUUUGCGUCUGAUUAGCUGGUUGGAGGGGUAACGGCCCACCAAGGCGACGAUCAGUAGCCGGUCUGAGAGGAUGAACGGCCACACUGGAACUGAGACACGGUCCAGACUCCUACGGGAGGCAGCAGUGGGGAAUCUUCCGCAAUGGGCGAAAGCCUGACGGAGCAACGCCGCGUGAGUGAUGACGGCCUUCGGGUUGUAAAACUCUGUGAUCCGGGACGAAAAGGCAGAGUGCGAAGAACAAACUGCAUUGACGGUACCGGAAAAGCAAGCCACGGCUAACUACGUGCCAGCAGCCGCGGUAAUACGUAGGUGGCAAGCGUUGUCCGGAAUUAUUAGGCGUAAAGCGCGCGCAGGCGGCUUCCCAAGUCCCUCUUAAGAGUGCGGGGCUUAACCCCGUGAUGG